rnacentral:rRNA from 2 species
GAUUUUAUGCUUGCAUAAAUGAUUUUGGGAUUCGGAGCGAGUGGCGAACUGGUGAGUAACACGUGGGUAACCUGCCCCGAAGCGGGGGAUAACAUUUGGAAACAAGUGCUAAUACCGCAUAAUUAGUUGGAACCGCAUGGUUCCAACUUGAAAGAUGGCUCUGCUAUCACUUUGGGAUGGACCCGCGCCGUAUUAGUUAGUUGGUGAGAUAAAAGCCCACCAAGACGAUGAUACGUAGCCGACCUGAGAGGGUAAUCGGCCACAUUGGGACUGAGACACGGCCCAGACUCCUACGGGAGGCAGCAGUAGGGAAUCUUCCACAAUGGACGAAAGUCUGAUGGAGCAACGCCGCGUGAGUGAUGAAGGUUUUCGGAUCGUAAAACUCUGUUGUUAAAGAAGAACAAGUGUUAGAGUAACUGUUAACACUUUGACGGUAUUUAACCAGAAAGCCACGGCUAACUACGUGCCAGCAGCCGCGGUAAUACGUAGGUGGCAAGCGUUGUCCGGAUUUAUUGGGCGUAAAGCGAGCGCAGGCGGUUUUGUAAGUCUGCUGUGAAAGCCCUCAGCUCAACUGAGGAAGUGCAGUGGAAACUACAAAACUUGAGUACAGAAGAGGAAAGUGGAACUCCAUGUGUAGCGGUGAAAUGCGUAGAUAUAUGGAAGAACACCAGUGGCGAAGGCGGCUUUCUGGUCUGUUACUGACGCUGAGGCUCGAAAGCAUGGGUAGCGAACAGGAUUAGAUACCCUGGUAGUCCAUG